rnacentral:SRP_RNA from 11 species
AAUCUGUGAACUGCCUCAGGUCGGGAACG